ACGGGUGAGUAACGCGUGGGAAUCUACCCAGCUCUACGGAAUAACUCAGGGAAACUUGUGCUAAUACCGUAUACGUCCGAUAGGAGAAAGAUUUAUCGGAGUUGGAUGAGCCCGCGUUGGAUUAGCUAGUUGGUGGGGUAAAGGCCUACCAAGGCGACGAUCCAUAGCUGGUCUGAGAGGAUGAUCAGCCACACUGGGACUGAGACACGGCCCAGACUCCUACGGGAGGCAGCAGUGGGGAAUAUUGGACAAUGGGCGCAAGCCUGAUCCAGCCAUGCCGCGUGAGUGAUGACGGUCUUAGGAUUGUAAAGCUCUUUCACCGGUGAAGAUAAUGACGGUAACCGGAGAAGAAGCCCCGGCUAACUUCGUGCCAGCAGCCGCGGUAAUACGAAGGGGGCUAGCGUUGUUCGGAUUUACUGGGCGUAAAGCGCACGUAGGCGGACUUUUAAGUCAGGGGUGAAAUCCCGGGGCUCAACCCCGGAACUGCCUUUGAUACUGGAAGUCUUGAGUAUGGAAGAGGUGAGUGGAAUUCCGAGUGUAGAGGUGAAAUUCGUAGA
rnacentral:rRNA from 1 species